CCGGGCGGGAUUGGAGGAGGCCGCGCCUCUCACCGCCCGGCCACGGCCCGUAAGGGGCGGGCUUGGAAUACACCGCUCCCCUUAUUGCAUCGCCAUCCACAGGCGGGGACGAGGCCGCGCCCUUUAGCGCCUCGUACCGCCCCUCCCGGCGGCCGCAGUUCUGGCGGUCGUCACAGCCACUAAACGAGGCCAAAACGAGGACCAGACGCUCACCGCCACACCCGAGCCCGGCCCUCACCGCUGCCGCCGCUGACGGGGGCGAGGCCGUUGCUCACGGGCGUGCCGGCGGGCGCCUCGCGCGGCCCGUUACUUUGGAGCAUGCGCGGUGCGGCGCCCCCGCGUUCCCGCCCGUGCGGCGCGCGCGGGCUCGUGAGGGGGGAGCGCGCGCACGGCCCCGCCGCCGCCUCAGCGCUCCCUGAGGGAACGGAGCCGCAGGGACGGAAAAAAAGUCACAGAACCUCUGAGUCACUGAGCCAAAAAGUGACAGAAGCACAGGGUCACAGAAUAUACGGAGUUGGUAGGGACCCACGAGGAUCAUCAAAGUCCGACUCCUGGCUCUGCACACAACACGCCAAGAAUCCCACCGUGUCACGGCCGUGAUGUCGAUGCUUCACACACCGCUGAGCCCUCGCGGUUUCCACAGGCAGAGACGGCUUUUAACUGGACACAAGAUCAUUGGAAGCCUCGUGCUUUUCACAAGGCGUCUUCUCUGUGACAUGAAAGAGGAAGAGCCACAUGCCAGCAGCAGCAUCUCCCUGCACUGGAAACAAAUCUCCACAAAACCAACCACAUCCAAGAGGUUCGUACCAAAUGUUGGAACUUUAAUGCUUAGAUCUCUGUAUCUGCUGUCCAGCACCUUUCCCUCCCUUCCAACACACAGAACUGAUUGUUCCUCAUCCCUACUCAAACCAAGUGUCCAUCAGGUUUAAUCCAGGCCUUAUUACACCACAGUGCCCUAAAAUAGUAGAGAUUCUGGCUUUCUGGCUAGCCCAGGUGUGAGAAGGGCAGCACAAACACCACACUUCCAUAGCAAAAAAGCCCCGGUUGCCUUGCCAGCAGGGAAGGAGAAGAUCCCAAGGUCAGGGCUGCUGUUGGAACAGUGGCACUGCAAACACUGGCCUCAGGAAUCCCUGUCUGCUCCAUCUCACACUGCCCUCAUCCACAUGCCAGGGCAAACUGGGAAGAGAUUGUGCCCAAAUGGAGCAUCCUGAGAGCAUCAGGCUGGACUGACUCUAAACCAAGAGCACUGGGGGGCUGCAAACAGGAGCCUCUGGAGAAACUGCAAAUCUCUUGUAUCAGGACAGAAUUUAGUUGACUCAGCCACCACUCCGAGCCCCAAACUGGAAAAGGCAUCAGGAAAUGAGAGCAGGCAAGGCACAGGAGGCAGAAAUAGGCAAUUAGGUUAAUCAGAUUUGUUGCAGUGGCUGCAAGGACUUUCCAUUCAUGUAGGAAAGGUUUUACUGACCCUUCUCCCACAGCUGGGGAAUCUGACCCCGUGCAGAUGAAAUUCAGGAAUCAGUUGAGCUCGGAAGAAGCCCUUGGCUCUCCACAGACACUGCUGGAAAGCGGGCUCUCCUCUGAGGGAGAAGCAGCAUUUCGGGCUCUCAUUUCCAGGGCAAGUUUCCCUACUUAAAAAGGCCUUUCCUCUUCAAAUCUAUUACUCUGGUUAAUAAAAAUAAUACUUGAGCAAUAUAAGUUCCCAUCAUUCAGCAAAAAUAUCAGAAACUACAGCAAAUGUACCUAAGCAGUUUUUAACAAAAGCUGAGAUUCCUGAAGCCUCCUCAGCUGCAACACCUCAUUAAUUGUUCAGC